UAAAUAUACAUGUAGAGUUACUGAGAGUUAGGUGUAGUAUAAAUAUACAUGUAGAGUUACUGAGAGUUAGGUGAAGUAUAAAUAUACAUGUAGAGUUACUGAGAGUUAGGUGAAGUAUAAAUAUACAUGUAGAGUUACUGAGAGUUAGGUGUAGUAUAAAUAUACAUGUAGAGUUACUGAGAGUUAGGUGUAGUAUAAAUAUACAUGUAGAGUUACUGAGAGUUAGGUGUAGUAUAAAUAUACAUGUAGAGUUACUGAGAGUUAGGUGAAGUAUAAAUAUACAUGUAGAGUUACUGAGAGUUAGGUGAAGUAUAAAUAUACAUGUAGAGUUACUGAGAGUUAGGUGUAGUAUAAAUAUACAUGUAGAGUUACUGAGAGUUAGGUGUAGUAUAAAUAUACAUGUAGAGUUACUGAGAGUUAGGUGAAGUAUAAAUAUACAUGUAGAGUUACUGAGAGUUAGGUGAAGUAUAAAUAUACAUGUAGAGUUACUGAGAGUUAGGUGUAGUAUAAAUAUACAUGUAGAGUUACUGAGAGUUAGGUGAAGUAUAAAUAUACAUGUAGAGUUACUGAGAGUUAGGUGUAGUAUAAAUAUACAUGUAGAGUUACUGAGAGUUAGGUGUAGUAUAAAUAUACGUGUAGAGUUACUGAGAGUUAGGUGUAGUAUAAAUAUACAUGUAGAGUUACUGAGAGUUAGGUGAAGUAUAAAUAUACAUGUAGAGUUACUGAGAGUUAGGUGAA